GCACUUACCUGGCAGGGGAGACACCAUGAUCAGACUGCUGGGUUUCCCAGGGUGAGGCUCAUCUUUUGCACUCCGGGUAUGCUGAUCCCUGCAAUUCUCCCAAAUGUGGAAAAAUCGACUGCAUAAUUUGUAGUAGUGGAUGACUGUGUUCACACUAUUUUUAU